GAUGAACGCUGGCGGUAUGCUUAACACAUGCAAGUCGAACGAAAUCUUCGGAUUUAGUGGCGGACGGGUGAGUAACGCGUGAGAAUCUGCCAUCAGGUCUGGGACAACCACUGGAAACGGUGGCUAAUACUGGAUGUGCCGAAAGGUGAAAGGUUAACUGCCUGUUGAUGAGCUCGCGUCUGAUUAGCUAGUAGGUGUGGUAAAAGCGCACCUAGGCGACGAUCAGUAGCUGGUCUGAGAGGACGAUCAGCCACACUGGGACUGAGACACGGCCCAGACUCCUGCGGGAGGCAGCAGUGGGGAAUUUUCCGCAAUGGGCGAAAGCCUGACGGAGCAAUACCGCGUGAGGGAGGAAGGCUCUUGGGUCGUAAACCUCUUUUCUCAGGGAAGAACAAAAUGACGGUACCUGAGGAAUAAGCAUCGGCUAACUCCGUGCCAGCAGCCGCGGUAAUACGGAGGAUGCAAGCGUUAUCCGGAAUGAUUGGGCGUAAAGCGUCCGCAAGUGGCGAUGUAAGUCUGCUGUUAAAGAGUCUAGCUCAACUAGAUAAGAGCAGUGGAAACUACAUAGCUAGAGUACGUUCGGGGCAGAGGGAAUUCCUGGUGUAGCGGUGAAAUGCGUAGAGAUCAGGAAGAACACCAGUGGCGAAGGCGCUCUGCUAGGCCGUAACUGACACUGAGGGACGAAAGCUAGGGGAGCGAAUGGGAUUAGAUACCCCAGUAGUCCUAGCCGUAAACGAUGGAUACUAGGCGUGGCUUG
rnacentral:rRNA from 1 species